CUGGGCGUAAAGAGCUCGUAGGUGGUUUGUCGCGUUGUUCGUGAAAACUCACAGCUUAACUGUGGGCGUGCGGGCGAUACGGGCAGACUAGAGUACUGCAGGGGAGACUGGAAUUCCUGGUGUAGCGGUGGAAUGCGCAGAUAUCAGGAGGAACACCGGCGGCGAAGGCGGGUCUCUGGGCAGUAACUGACGCUGAGGAGCGAAAGCGUGGGGAGCGAACAGGAUUAGAUACCCUGGUAGUCCACGCCGUAAACGGUGGGUACUAGGUGUGGGUUCCUUCCUUGGGAUCCGUGCCGUAGCUAACGCAUUAAGUACCCCGCCUGGGGAGUACGGCCGCAAGGCUAAAACUCAAAGGAAUUGACGGGGGCCCGCACAAGCGGCGGAGCAUGUGGAUUAAUUCGAUGCAACGCGAAGAACCUUACCUUGGGUUUGACAUGCACAGGACGCCGGCAGAGAUGUCGGUUCCCUUGUGGCCUGUGUGCAGGUGGUGCAUGGCUGUCAUCAGCUCGUGUCGUGAGAUGUUGGGUUAAGUCCCGCAACGAGCGCAACCCUUGUCCUAUGUUGCCAGCGGGUUAUGCCGGGGACUCGUAGGAGACUGCCGGGGUCAACUCGGAGGAAGGUGGGGAUGACGUCAAGUCAUCAUGCCCCUUAUGUCCAGGGCUUCACACAUGCUACAAUGGCCGGUACAAAGGGCUGCGAUGCCGUGAGGUGGAGCGAAUCCUUUCAAAGCCGGUCUCAGUUCGGAUCGGGGUCUGCAACUCGACCCCGUGAAGUCGGAGUCGCUA
rnacentral:rRNA from 1 species